rnacentral:rRNA from 1 species
CAGACUCCUACGGGAGGCAGCAGUGGGGAAUAUUGCACAAUGGGCGAAAGCCUGAUGCAGCGACGCCGCGUGAGGGAUGACGGCCUUCGGGUUGUAAACCUCUUUCAGCAGGGAAGAAGCGAGAGUGACGGUACCUGCAGAAGAAGUGCCGGCUAACUACGUGCCAGCAGCCGCGGUAAUACGUAGGGCGCAAGCGUUGUCCGGAAUUAUUGGGCGUAAAGAGCUCGUAGGCGGCUUGUCACGUCGAUUGUGAAAGCCCGAGGCUUAACCUCGGGUCUGCAGUCGAUACGGGCUAGCUAGAGUGUGGUAGGGGAGGUCGGAAUUCCUGGUGUAGCGGUGAAAUGCGCAGAUAUCAGGAGGAACACCGGUGGCGAAGGCGGAUCUCUGGGCCAUUACUGACGCUGAGGAGCGAAAGCGUGGGGAGCGAACAGGAUUAGAUACCCUGGUAGUCCACGCCGUAAACGGUGGGAACUAGGUGUUGGCGACAUUCCACGUCGUCGGUGCCGCAGCUAACGCAUUAAGUUCCCCGCCUGGGGAGUACGGCCGCAAGGCUAAAACUCAAAGGAAUUGACGGGGGCCCGCACAAGCGGCGGAGCGUGUGGCUUAAUUCAACGCAACGCGAAGAACCUUACCAAGGCUUGACAUACACCGGAGAGCAUUAGAGAUAGUGCCCCCCUUGUGGUCGGUG